rnacentral:rRNA from 1 species
UGAAAUGUUGGGUUAAGUCCCGCAACGAGCGCAACCCUUAUCCUUGUUUGCCAGCACGUAAUGGUGGGAACUCCAGGGAGACUGCCGGUGAUAAACCGGAGGAAGGUGGGGACGACGUCAAGUCAUCAUGGCCCUUACGAGUAGGGCUACACACGUGCUACAAUGGCGCAUACAGAGGGCAGCGAGCUAGCGAUAGUGAGCGAAUCCCAAAAAGUGCGUCGUAGUCCGGAUUGGAGUCUGCAACUCGACUCCAUGAAGUCGGAAUCGCUAGUAAUCGUGAAUCAGAAUGUCACGGUGAAUACGUUCCCGGGCCUUGUACACACCGCCCGUCACACCAUGGGAGUGGGCUGCAAAAGAAGUAGGUAGUCUAACCUUCGGGAGGACGCUUACCACUUUGUGGUUCAUGACUGGGGUGAAGUCGUAACAAGGUAGCCCUAGGGGAACCUGGGGCUGGAUCACCUCCUUAUACGAAGAUA